AGAUCAGGGCAUGUACAUUUUGUAGACUUAUUCCCAGAUGAGCCAUAACAAAUAGCUAAAGCAUACUUUCCACUGGUGGCAAAUUGCUCCUGGGAAACAUACUGAUUCACUUGUGGAUUAAAAACACAGCAGUUAGAAUCACUUUCAUAUAGGCUAACUUCACAGCUCUUGAUAGUGAAGAGAAAUUUUUUUUUUUUUUUUUAGCUUUCAAAAGAUUCAUAGAUGUCUCCCUAUUUCUUUGAACUGUCAUUAUGUUUAAAUGGGGUGAGAAAACUACCAAAAAUGUUUAAAUCAUGCGUUCCUGAUGCAAACAUCAGUAGUCUCUUGUCUUUUACUAACUACAUUUAAACAUACCAGAGAUGAAAUUGUUGGACUAUGAGAUUACAAUCCCUUUUGACGGGUUAAUAAUCUUGCUUAUUAAUAGAAACAAUUCAGACCAGAAUUCUACCUUGCAAUUUUGCUAUGGGAAGUGUAGGCAAGAUUUCACCAAGAACAAAACAAUCUCGCAAACCAAUUUGAAUGAUCUGAGAGCUGUGUUUGCUUAAUGUACAGUUUAGUAGUGGUAUCACGCUUUGGCUCUGUUGUCCUUUCUUUGAACUCAAGGGUAGGCUUGGGGGAUGUUAUUGGAACCACAUGCUUUCAUUCAGGUUGACGGUUUUCUUCAGAAGACAUAGUAGGGUCUUCAUGAGUUGUCUCAGGUUGCAAGUCAGCUGUCCAAUGAUGAAGAAUCAUCUAUAUGUUUCAGUGGGUUUAGGCUUAAAAAACACUCUCAAGAUAUUAAUUUGCCAUUGUUUUAGGUAUAAAAGUGAAAUAUUCCAAAACAUGAUAUGUUAAAGUUUACAGUGGAAAUAUUUUCAAAUACAACUAGGUGGUUGAAUUUUCAUAGUAUAAUGCUUUUUCUCAUUUUUAUCAUGGAAAAGCACAAAUAUUUUAAAUAUUUUUGUGUUUGUUUUUACCAAGGAAAAACCACUCGAAAAGCAAGAGGGCAGUUUGAUGUCUAAAAUGGAAAGGGUAAAUUGCUGCCCUAUCACAUAAGUGGCUUUUGUAGGUUGGAAGUGAAAAAUAUUUUUAAUUUAAAAGUGAAUUUGGAGAUCUGAGCAUGCUCACUGUACAUCACUUUAAAAUUAUUAAAGUAGUUUGAUUUAAUAGAGUGAAUCUUCUCAGGCUGAGGAGUACUUCACUUUGCACUGCAAAAGCUCAGAUGUUAGAACCCGAUCACUUCCCAGAUGAAGAGCUUAUAAAAAAAUGUGAAGUACUCUAAUAAUUUUAAAUUACUCUAUAUUGCACAUUUUCAGGUCUCUGAUCACCUCCAAAUUCAAGUGCUUAUAAAACUGCUCCCAUAAUUUUAAAUUGCUAUGUGCACAGUGAUUUAAAAUUGUGAGAGUGCUUCAAAGUUUUUUAAUAAGUGCUUUAAUUUAGAAGUGAGUUGAGCAAUACUCCAGUAUAACUUCAAGAAUUUAUUAAACCGAUAUAAAAAUUUAUCCUCUGGAAAGAAAAUUACAUUACGUAUAAAAGGGUGAGGCUCCAAAUGAAUAUAUAUGAGGAUGAAAGUACCAAAUGCUCAGGAACAAUCAGUAAAUGAAAUGAGAUCAUGGGGUCGUAGGUGGGGGGUUUGUUUGGUUAAUUUUGUUCACUGCUUGCCUGAGGCUAGCGUUCUUGAAAAUCUAACAGAAAGGGAAGGAAGGAAGAGAGAGCCUGGUGGGAGAGUUUAUCCCUAAGACAUCUUUCCCCACUUGUCAGUAAGGUAGCUCCUGGACCCGCCUGACUCCUGAAUUUCUCAUUUUUCAGAGGUAAACAUGGCACAUUUUAAAUUGUACUCAGGGAUGAGGGAAAUGGUUUUCAUUAAAAACAGAAUUCCUUUCAUAAACCAAUAGAUCUAGUCACCCUAGGAAAAGCAUGUAGAUUUGGUUUUCUGACCACGAUACCCCAUUAUUAUUACAAUGCAUGAGGUGAUUUGACCUUAAACGGGCUACCAUCCUACAUGGAUCUAGUCUUACACUACCUGCUUGGGGAAUAAAAUAUCUUGAGUUGUGCUAGCUGCGACCAGCUUUUCCAUGGCUUCUCCGGCUUAUUUUCCAUGCUGUUCAGGUAAACAUGGUGGUCCCCUUUGACUGAGUCACCGAUUUUGUCUGACUGCACCAGCUGAUGUGUCUGAAAUAUCAAACCGUUUGACAGGGACAUGAGGCCUCUCAUGUACUGAACUAGAAUUUUAUAAUGUCUUUGAUUAAGAACAUGAACUUGAAACACAGGAACCAUAAGGAUGUUCUUUUGUCCAGUCGUGAAAAGAUGGGGAUUUAUAAUGUAUGGUGAUUCUUUGCACAUUUUGUGAAACCCCCAUAGCCUUCCUUACAGGGAAAAAGGCAUUUACAGUUACUAAGUUGAAGAUGAAAUAAAAGUCAAUUGACUGCAUGUUUCAGCAGUUCCUACCUCAGAAUGGAAAAUUACAUACAUCAUUGGGUUCUAAAGUGUAAUAAAUGGGUGGAUGUUAGUUCUUGUUUCUCACUUUGCUAUAAAUAUUACUGUGCCUCAAAAUAUUUGAAGUAAUUCUCAUCUUCAUUUUUGCUGUAUGUAAAUAUUCUUGAAAAUGACUCUUAUCUUCCUAUAUUUUUUUAAAUAUAGGAGAUUAGUCUCUGUCUAUAACACAGGGAAACAAGACUUUCUGAAAUAUCCCGGAUACAUAUAUAAAGGACAGAAAGGUUGUAUGUGAGACCUUGAAAAGAAUGUGAUUUUUUUAUGACAAUUUAUCAUUUAUCCUGGAUCAACAUUUUCUAGCACUCUUCUAGCUUUGCUAAAGCAAAUUGUGUUUUAUGUCCCCAGCAGAAUACUCGAUAACUGGUCUGGCGAUGAUGAGGCAUAAUAGGAGUUAUCUGGUCCCAGGAAAGUCAUUGGUUUGCGUUCACUGCCAGAGUCUGGUUAUCAUUGCAGGGCAGGAUUAUCUCAUUGUUUUCUGCUGCCAUGAUUUUGUUUUGACUUCUCAAAUCUCCACAGAACACUCAUUUAGAAAACCCUCCACAGUGGUUUGUUCUUACUGGGGAAACGAAGGCAGUGGGGAGGGAAGGACAGAAGGAUUUUCUUUCUUUUUCUGAGUCCGUCCUGGGCAGAGAGUAAGAUGCAGUUUUUUCUUAGCGUUGUCAGUGCAAGCCUAGCCCUUUCACUGCCCAGUUUAUUACUCCUAUGCAUCGCCUUAAGAUAUUGCUCCAAAGAUCAAUACCCUGAUUUCCUUUCCAUCUGCCUAGACUAAGAUAAUUAGGCUCUUUACUUCAUUUUGUAUGUAAUGAAGGCGGCAACUCGUGAUAGUAGAGGAAAAAAGCUAUCUCCCUAUGGUAAAUGUAUUGACAUUUACAGAUACCAGCGGAGCACAACAUGAGGAGAGUAAUGAGAAAUUUCACUGCUUUCCCCUCUUUCUCUGUUUCCUGGCUAGAUCCCACAGCGAAUCACUAGCUGCAAAGAGAAGGGACGGCUUAGGGACCGACAAUUGAGAGCAUUUACAAUUAGCUGCAUUGAUUAACCUUUACAAAUGCUGUUACUUUAUGAGGUGUUUUUCUCAGCCCUGGUUGAACAGUAUGCGUUAUUGAUUCAACAUACUCCUUUACGAAAGCCCUGAUUUGUCCGUGACUCCACCAGUCAUAAUGCCUGCCUUGGUAGUCGUUUCUGCAUGUUCUCGGGAAAACUUGACACGGAAGACUGAUUGGCAUUAUGUAAAUGGGGUCCACAUCUUCCUUUAGGAAGGGUGUACAGCCGGCAGAAACCAGGGCGUAGACCUGCCUCCCUUCAUCCCCAUCGCCAGGCGCAGACACAAAGGAUGCCAGCCUCGCGCCAGCCGCUUACUGCUGCCCAAUUCACAGCAUCACUCCUAAUAAGCGGCCUGCAGGAGGAAAAGAGCCUCAGACACUCCUCCAUCUCCUCUGUAUUCCCUGGUUUUUAUUUAGGUUUCCUGAAAUAAUUUGGAGUGUGUGUGCAUGCGUGUGUGUAUGUGUGAAAGAGAGAGAGAGGGAGGGAGAGAGAGAGUUUGUGUAAGGGAAAGGGGUGGUGGGAAAUUGUCCAAAAAAUUGUUUUUAGCUUAAUUUUCUUCGAAGAUUGUAGACCGACUUUGAUUGCCGCUUUGGCUGGUGAUUCCAAAAUCUAUGGUGGAAGGCAUUUUCCUUUCAUCAGUUUGAUUCAGAGAAGCUCAGUGCUUAGAAAUAAUAAAUAUCACCUAGAAAUGGCUGCCUUCCACCCCUCCUGCCCCAUAGAACUAUAUGAAUAUAAAUUGAAUACUAUUUUCUUUUUCUUCCUCUCUUGCUUCCCUCUCUCCCCAUUUCUUCCUUUGAGCCUUCCCUUAUUCUUCAUUUCAAGGUGUACAUUAGUAUCAUCUGAAAGAUAAAAGGACUAAAAGCUUGAAAUACUACAGAGUAAAUCCAUCAGCUGUUCUGUCAGGAUUCCUAAAAUGUAUUCUGCACCCAAGACCAGUUAUAUGAUAUGCAGUGCAAAAUAAAGAUGCAGGGCCCCUUGUUCAUAAAUUAUUAAAAAUUUCUAAACAGUAACAGCAGAGUGUUAAACCCAGCUCUGUUCCUCUAAGAAUGAGGCUUGUGUGAUUGCACAGAUCACACACCCAGGAAGUAGGCCCUGCCAUCAUCUUUGCCAACAGUUAUUUCUGAAAAGAUAGUAGGAGACAGGGGCCUGGGUGGGGGGAAGGUAGUAUUUGUUUUCUUUCCCAACUCGAGUUUAAACUUCUCUAUUGUGAGACUCAUUUUUUCUGGAUCAUGCCAAAUUGCAUAUGCUCCUUUAUGACUUGAAAUGCCACUUAGUUGGGUUUGAACUGAGAGCACCGCCUUUAUGCCCAUCUUCUGCAUAGCAGAUUCCAGCGACUUGAAGCACUUUUUCCAUGCCAGAAUUCUGAGACUGGAGUAUUUGUCACUUUGCGCUUCCAGGAACGGCUGAAAAAAGUUUAUUUUGCUUUAUGUGAUUAAACUGAAUGUUUGUCUUGAUGCAAAUGCAUAUACAUGUGCAUUUAUUCUAAUAUACAUAUCCAAACACAUGGGAUUUUUUUUUCCCGUACAUACAUGUGCAUAACAGAAUUGAGUUUAUGGUUUUCCAAGACACAGCUGAACAAUGAUGGAAGACAGCCAUUUUUUUUUUUAAUGAAGAGUUGAUGCAUUUUUAAAGGAAAAAAAUCAGGAAGCUGCUCUAACAGACUCUGCAGCAUUCACAGCAUGACAAACAAAUUAGAAAACAGCAGAUGCAGCACAAAUUAAGAUGUAUUUAGCACAGCAGCCCAUCAGAUGUGUGAACGUCUUUUGUAACUCAGCUUUGCAAGGUUGAUGUAUUGCACUUUAGACAGCUGAUAAUGAACCCUCCUAGCAAUUAGAAGUGGAAAUACUGAGGAGUCAAAAUUGUGCUGUUCCCAGUGGGC
rnacentral:lncRNA from 1 species